rnacentral:rRNA from 1 species
AUACGUAGGGUGCAAGCGUUGUCCGGAAUUAUUGGGCGUAAAGAGCUCGUAGGCGGUUUGUCGCGUCUGCUGUGAAAAUCCAAGGCUCAACCUUGGACCUGCAGUGGGUACGGGCAAGCUAGAGUGCGGUAGGGGAGAUGGGAAUUCCUGGUGUAGCGGUGGAAUGCGCAGAUAUCAGGAGGAACACCAAUGGCGAAGGCACAUCUCUGGGCCAACACUGACGCUGAGGCGCGAAAGCUAGGGGAGCAAACAGGAUUAGAUACCCUGGUAGUCCUAGCCUUAAACGAUGAUGACUUGGUGUGUCGGGUUUGAGUCCCGAUGUGCCGGAGCUAACGCGUUAAGUCAUCCGCCUGGGGAGUACGGUCGCAAGACUGAA